rnacentral:rRNA from 1 species
GGAUGCCUACGGGACGCAGCAGUGGGGGAUAUUGCACAAUGGGGGGAACCCUGAUGCAGCGACGCCGCGUGAGUGAAGAAGCGCCUCGGCGCGUAAAGCCCUGUCAGCAGGGAAGAAAAUGACGGUACCUGAAGAAGAAGCCCCGGCUAACUACGUGCCAGCAGCCGCGGUAAUACGUAGGGGGCAAGCGUUAUCCGGAUUUACUGGGUGUACAGGGGGCGCAGACGGCGAUGCCAGCCCGGAGUGAAAGCCCGGGGCCCAACCCCGGGACUGCUCUUGGCACUGCGUGGCUGGAGUGCAGGAGG